AUUGAACGCUGGCGGCAUGCCUUACACAUGCAAGUCGAACGGUAACAGGUCUUCGGAUGCUGACGAGUGGCGAACGGGUGAGUAAUACAUCGGAACGUGCCUAGUAGUGGGGGAUAACUACUCGAAAGAGUGGCUAAUACCGCAUGAGAUCUACGGAUGAAAGCAGGGGAUCGCAAGACCUUGUGCUACUAGAGCGGCCGAUGGCAGAUUAGGUAGUUGGUGGGAUAAAAGCUUACCAAGCCGACGAUCUGUAGCUGGUCUGAGAGGACGAUCAGCCACACGGGGACUGAGACACGGCCCAGACGCCUACGGGAGGCAGCAGUGGGGAAUUUUGGACAAUGGGCGCAAGCCUGAUCCAGCAAUGCCGCGUGCAGGAUGAAGGCCUUCGGGUUGUAAACUGCUUUUGUACGGAGCGAAAAGCCCUGGGUUAAUACCCUGGGGUCAUGACGGUACCGUAAGAAUAAGCACCGGCUAACUACGUG
rnacentral:rRNA from 1 species